UGGGGAAUAUUGCACAAUGGGGGAAACCCUGAUGCAGCGACGCCGCGUGAGCGAAGAAGGCUUUCGAGUCGUAAAGCUCUGUCCUAUGAGAAGAUAAUGACGGUAUCAUAGGAGGAAGCCCUGGCUAAAUACGUGCCAGCAGCCGCGGUAAUACGUAUGGGGCGAGCGUUGUCCGGAAUUAUUGGGCGUAAAGGGUACGUAGGCGGUUUUUUAAGUCAGGUGUCAAAGCGUGGAGCUUAACUCCAUUAAGCACUUGAAACUGAAAGACUUGAGUGAAGGAGAGGAAAGUGGAAUUCCCAGUGUAGGGGUGAAAAGCGUAGAUAUUAGGAGGAAUACCGGGGGCGAAGGCGAACUUCUGGACUUUUACUGACCCUCAGGUAAGAAAGCGUGGGGGGGAAACAGG
rnacentral:rRNA from 1 species